GUUCUGCGAGUCCGUGCUUCUUUAUAAUGAUUCUUCAGAAGCUCUCAUCAACUGCCUGAAAUGGUUUGCUGUGCAAUUUCAAUACACAUGAAAUACACUGAAAUACUACUGCUGAAACCCAAUCCAUGUACUGGGGCUCUUCAGAAAGAGGGAUUUACUCGUAAAAUCUGGUUUUUGUUUUACCCCAGCUCUAAGACACCCCGUUCUAAUGAUCAAGGUCUUGUUUGGAGACAGUGAUUGGUUUAUUAGUUGAAUCAGGCAUCAUAGUGCUGGGCGAAAACAGAAACCUGAACCCACACCGACCCUUUUUGGAUAAGACUGGACCCCCCUGCACCAGAUUCUUUCAUCCAGAACAGUGUCUGUGCUCCACACACAGAGACCCAGGAGAGGCCUGGAGACAGGGAUGGGACCGCUCUCGCAAGGUCAUAUCAUGCGCUGCAAUCCUGUCCAUUUCUUCCCAGUAGUGAAAUAUAAUUUAAUUUCUUACGGAUUUAAUAUCGGCUUAUUGGAUAGAAGCGAUAUAACUUGGUAAUACAG